AGUGAACGCUGGCGGUAGGCCUAACACAUGCAAGUCGAACGGCAGCACAGUAAGAGCUUGCUCUUACGGGUGGCGAGUGGCGGACGAGUGAGGAAUACAUCGGAAUCUACUUUUUCGUGGGGGAUAACGUAGGGAAACUUACGCUAAUACCGCAUACGACCUACGGGUGAAAGCAGGGGAUCUUCGGACCUUGCGCGAUUGAAUGAGCCGAUGUCGGAUUAGCUAGUUGGCGGGGUAAAGGCCCACCAAGGCGACGAUCCGUAGCUGGUCUGAGAGGAUGAUCAGCCACACUGGAACUGAGACACGGUCCAGACUCCUACUGGAGGCAGCAGUGGGGAAUAUUGGACAAUGGGCGCAAGCCUGAUCCAGCCAUACCGCGUGGGUGAAGAAGGCCUUCGGGUUGUAAAGCCCUUUUGUUGGGAAAGAAAAGCAGCAGGUUAAUACCCCGCUGUUCUGACGGUACCCAAAGAAUAAGCACCGGCUAACUUCGUG
rnacentral:rRNA from 1 species